AGUCGAGCGGAAAGGCCCCUUCGGGGGUACUCGAGCGGCGAACGGGUGAGUAACACGUGAGCAACCUGCCCCUGACUCUGGGAUAAGCCCGGGAAACUGGGUCUAAUACCGGAUAUGACGCAUUCUCGCAUGGGAUGUGUGUGGAAAGUUUUUCGGUUGGGGAUGGGCUCGCGGCCUAUCAGCUUGUUGGUGGGGUGAUGGCCUACCAAGGCGACGACGGGUAACCGGCCUGAGAGGGCGACCGGUCACACUGGGACUGAGACACGGCCCAGACUCCUACGGGAGGCAGCAGUGGGGAAUAUUGCGCAAUGGGCGGAAGCCUGACGCAGCGACGCCGCGUGGGGGAUGACGGCCUUCGGGUUGUAAACCUCUUUCAGCAGGGACGAAGCUAACGUGACGGUACCUGCAGAAGAAGCGCCGGCUAACUACGUGCCAGCAGCCGCGGUAAUUCA
rnacentral:rRNA from 1 species